GACGAACCGUGCGAACGUUGUUCGGAAUCACUGGGCUUAAAGGGCGCGUAGGCGGGCCGGUAAGUCCGGGGUGAAAUCCUGCAGCUCAACUGCAGAAGUGCCUCGGAUACUGCCGGCCUCGAGGGAGGUAGGGGCAUGUGGAACUUCCGGUGGAGCGGUGAAAUGCGUAGAUAUCGGAAGGAACGCCGGUGGCGAAAGCGACGUGCUGGACCUCUACUGACGCUGAGGCGCGAAAGCCAGGGGAGCAAACGGG
rnacentral:rRNA from 1 species